GUAGACAUUAGCUCAGUGGUUAGAGCACAGGCCUCUGGCUCUCGGGUCCGCGAGUUCGAGUCCCGUCGUCUACU
rfam:Nasonia vitripennis chromosome 2, whole genome shotgun sequence.